rnacentral:rRNA from 1 species
UGGGGAAUAUUGGACAAUGGGCGCAAGCCUGAUCCAGCCAUGCCGCGUGCAGGAUGACGGUCCUAUGGAUUGUAAACUGCUUUUGUACAGGAAGAAACAGUUCUACGUGUAGAACCUUGACGGUACUGUAAGAAUAAGGAUCGGCUAACUCCGUGCCAGCAGCCGCGGUAAUACGGAGGAUCCAAGCGUUAUCCGGAAUCAUUGGGUUUAAAGGGUCCGUAGGCGGUUAGAUAAGUCAGUGGUGAAAGCCCAUCGCUCAACGGUGGAACGGCCAUUGAUACUGUCUGACUUGAAUUAUUAGGAAGUAACUAGAAUAUGUAGUGUAGCGGUGAAAUGCUUAGAGAUUACAUGGAAUACCAAUUGCGAAGGCAGGUUACUACUAAUGUAUUGACGCUGAGGUACGAAAGCGUGGGGAGCAAACAGGAUUAGAUACCCACGUAGUCCCUGAGCGGGCUGGCAAGGCGCAU